UACGGAGGGUGCGAGCGUUUGUCCGGAAUCACUGGGCGUAAAGGGCGCGUAGGCGGCGCGGAUAGUCGGCGGUGAAAGCCCGGAGCUCAACUCCGGGUCGGCCGUCGAUACUUCCGGGCUUGAGCACUGUAGAGGCAGAUGGAAUUCCGGGUGUAGCGGUGGAAUGCGUAGAUAUCGGGAGGAACACCUGUGGCGAAAGCGGCUCACUGGACAGUAACUGACGCUGAUGCACGAAAAGCUAGGGGGAGCAAACAGG
rnacentral:rRNA from 1 species